AGUUAAGAAAUCUUGUGAUUUGAAAGUCCAUCUGAGCUUAGGUAAUAAAGGGAAAGUGUAAUUGAAGCAUCUGGCCAAGUCAGGAUUCCCAGUGAAGAGGCUGAUUGCUCUUUGUAAAGCAGGAGCAAGGAAGAAGCAGCAGGCCAUUGUAAAGGAAGAGCCCUCAUUCUGGUGCCCUCAGCCAAAAAUCCUGUGAAGGAACAACAGUCGGGCCUUUCACUCCAUGGUGAAGCCAAGCAGAGUUGCUACGGAGCUCUGAUCUGCAGUUUUAAGGUUGCACUUUUAUUGUGGAGUGCCGAGAACACUGUGGAAAACUGCAACAGGACAACUAAAACACUGACCCUCUCUUCUGUUUCAUUGUGGGAAUUGCAGUGGAGUUGUGGUACUGACCUUGAGGGCAGUGUGUGCAAUAUUCCAAGAGGAUGGGAUGACAGAAAUUCCUGGUAAAAAUCAGAGUGGCCAGGCAGAGAUGAUAGUAACGGAUGCUGUUGGUCUUGGAAUGACUUGAUGCGAUUCACUUUUUCUGGCAAGAGGAAAGUUUAGAACAAGCACCUCAAACUCUUCAGCUUUAGAAAUGGAGAACAUUUCCAAUGAAGAUAUUAAUCAAUCUUGAAAAAAAGAAACUCUGCAAAUAGCUUAAAUUUUAACAAUGCAUUUUAAGCCUUUUUAGCUAAGUAUGUCAAACCUGUCUGUUAUACUACACUGUAUUAUGCAUCAACGUGUCUUCUCUUUUGACAUUGAAAUUACUGCUGAAGUGUUAGGAAUUCUCUUGAGACUGAAAUUUGGCUUUCUAUGUAACUUUAAAUGGAUCUGCAUCUCUUCCCAUACUGGUUUGAUUUCUUAAUUUUUAAUGCAAUUACUCUUGAUUUAUACCACUAAAUGAGAAGGUGUUUUCAUACCAAAAAACAUGAACCAUCUGGGUUUUCUUAAUUGCUUGAAUGAGUUGUUCACAUAUGCCUACUUUGUAUGUGAUGGAGUUAUUCUAUUUAAUACCCAGAUUUCUAUUCUAGAGAAGAAGUAGUGCAUAUUCACAGGGCUAGAACCAGCUGAAGUGAUUUAUCAGUGUACUGCUGUGCAGUAUUUCAUGGAUCUUCUCUCUGCUAAUACACCGUGCUUUUCAUUGACAUCUUUAAAGGCUGUUGUUAUGUUUGUACCUUCAUUUCCUUUAUUUCUGAAGUGCCAUGAGUAACUAUCCCUGCACUCUCAAUGUUAUGGAUAGUUCAGUUUCACUUGGGUGCUUAAACUACACUUUAGAAUUUAGUGUGGAAACAGAUGCAAGGGAUUCUGCCACAGAGAGGACAGUGUGGCUAGAAGAAACCUCUCAACAGUUUUCUGUUUCAGAGUCCAAUAUGUUCAUGUUAAUCCAGCAUGUCUUGGAAACGAGAGAUUACAAAGAGGAGAUGUUUUAAGAGAACAAUUGGUAACUUUGUAUAUAUUUCAACGAAUAUUUUACAAAUAUUUGAAUUUGCUCUGUUUGGAAGAUAAGUAAACCAAAGUUCUU
rnacentral:lncRNA from 7 species